UGCCGGUUCCCCCGCAACGCUAAACGGCAAACCCCGCCAGGUCCGGAAGGAAGCAACGGUAGUCGUGAUGCGUGUGCCGGGGUCGGGCUGGCAGGG
rnacentral:SRP_RNA from 1 species